AUGUGAUGAAAUAACAACUGAAACAGCUGGAAUUACCGACAGAUGUUUAGUGGUGACUCAGUUUUCUGAAC